rnacentral:piRNA from 1 species
UGAGACAAGAAUUACAUCUCAUCACUCUUGU